GCUUAAGUUGGUUUUCUGUCUUAUUCAGAUAAGAAUCCACCCAACCGCCUCUACUUGGUCUUCAACUCUGCCGUUUCUGUUUUUUUGAGCAGAACUUCUUGCUUAUAUGUUCUGUUGCCACCGGCAAUAUAUGUGCACGAGUUCCUCAUCGCACUUCGUGCUUUUCAUUACCUCCUGGCUUCGUACUGCGAACCUAUUCUCUUUUCGGAACUACAACAAUAAAAGUUUCAACGCUU
rnacentral:lncRNA from 1 species